GGGUACUUGUACCUGGUGGCGAGCGGCGGACGGGUGAGUAAUGCCUAGGAAUCUGCCUAGUAGUGGGGGAUAACGUCCGGAAACGGGCGCUAAUACCGCAUACGUCCUACGGGAGAAAGUGGGGGAUCUUCGGACCUCACGCUAUUAGAUGAGCCUAGGUCGGAUUAGCUAGUUGGUGAGGUAAUGGCUCACCAAGGCUACGAUCCGUAACUGGUCUGAGAGGAUGAUCAGUCACACUGGAACUGAGACACGGUCCAGACUCCUACGGGAGGCAGCAGUGGGGAAUAUUGGACAAUGGGCGAAAGCCUGAUCCAGCCAUGCCGCGUGUGUGAAGAAGGUCUUCGGAUUGUAAAGCACUUUAAGUUGGGAGGAAGGGCAGUUACCUAAUACGUGAUUGUUUUGACGUUACCGACAGAAUAAGCACCGGCUAACUCUGUGCCAGCAGCCGCGGUAAUACAGAGGGUGCAAGCGUUAAUCGGAAUUACUGGGCGUAAAGCGCGCGUAGGUGGUUUGUUAAGUUGAAUGUGAAAGCCCCGGGCUCAACCUGGGAACUGCAUCCAAAACUGGCAAGCUAGAGUAUGGUAGAGGGUGGUGGAAUUUCCUGUGUAGCGGUGAAAUGCGUAGAUAUAGGAAGGAACACCAGUGGCGAAGGCGACCACCUG
rnacentral:rRNA from 1 species